GUGAGGACCGUGAGGAUGUUGGGGCAGUCAGGUGAGCUGGGUGAGGGCCGUGAGGAUGUUGGGGCAUAGGCUGCCAGGUCAGCUGGUUUAUUUUGAUGUCUCAGGGAUCAGUGGAGUACUCGACUGCUGGAGCCACAAGGACUUGAUUGUGUUUAAACCAACUGAGCUGCUCCCACGAGAACAGCUGCCACCGACACUUGCUCCUGUGUGUGUGUGUGUGUGUGUGUGCGCAUGCGUGUGUUUGUCUGUCUGUCUGUGUGUGUGCAUGUGUGUGUCUGUCUGUCUGUCUGUCUGUCUGUGUGUGUGUGUGUGUGUGUCUGCGUGCGUGUCUGUGUGUGUGUGUGUCUGCGUGCGUGUGUGUCUGUCUGUGUGUGUGUGUCAGCGUGCGUGUGUGUGUGUGUGUGUGUGUCUGCGUGCGUGUCUGUGUGUGUGUGCGUGCGUGUCUGUGUGUGUGUGUGUCUGCGUGCGUGUCUGUGUUUGUAUGUAUCUAUUACAUACAGUCCAUCAGCGCAAGUGUUGACUAUGUCAGGGCGUGCCGGUAUGGAUUUACAGACUGCUGGUCAGAAAAAGAAAUGUUAUUUAUAGUAUAGGACCAUGGCAGGUGACUAGAGCAGAGCUGCCCGCACUUACCUUGUCAUAACCACAUGAAUUACAUGUGACGAUUACAGAGAACAUCCCAGGUUCUCUCUCGGGGGAAACACCACUGGCGUUCCCAUAGAACGUUCUAGUCAAUCUCUACGGGUGUCACUUUAAAGAGUUGAUUUGGCCAGGUGUUACUCAGCUAGGUGUUGCUGCAGUCGCUGUAAGGCCCGUGGGUCGCCUGCCUGUCUGGAUCUGCCCUAUUUGCCCAGUUUGUGUUGUGCUUCUGGGUCCGGGGCGGGGCGGGGGGGGGGGGUGCCUGGGUCUGCGGAUGCCCUGGACAGGCUUGAAGAGGGAGGGAGUGUGUGUGUUUGUGAAUGGCAUGGACUGCUCAGAAGGCAAUAAAGAUUACCACAUUCCACUUCGCUGUGCCCGUGUGAUGUUUUGUGUCUUGAGUUUUAUAGCAGUUUUUUCCCCAAGAGGUGAA
ensembl:lncRNA